AUGUUGCGCACUGGCGUGAGGCGGCCGCGCUGCGCGCCAUGCGUCGCGGGGGCAGACGUGCACUGCCAUGCCGACGCGGCGUUCCUCUGCGCGCCCUGCCACGCCCAGGUGCACCGCACCAGCUCCCUCGCGUCCCGCCACCGCCUCACGCGCGUCCCACCGCCCAACCACGUCCGCGCGGAGGUUUCGGCCAGGGCGAUGGGCCUGCACACCUGGGGUGCGCGCCUACGUGCCGCCGGCGGCGGCCGCACGCGUGUCCCGCCGCCCAGCAACAUCCGCGGCCGCUGCGGGGCCGCGCUCCAACUUUUGGCCAGGCGGGUAGGCCUGGACGCGGGGGUUGCGCGCCUGCGUGCCGCCGCAGCCUUCCACACGCUCCGGGUCGAGUUCGCCUCCACGCCGCGCAUGCCGCUGCGUGUCGCGAUGGCGGCCGCGUUGUGGAGGGAGGUGGCGGCUCACGGCGGUGUCCACGAGCCCGGCUACGCACUCCAGCGCCUGGCAACUUGGGCGCACGUGCCUGCGAGUUUCAUUGUGGCGGUGGCGGCGGCCAUCGGGCGCGCGCGCCAAGUAAGGACGGCCGCAGUGGACUGCGCGAUCGUGAGCCCACGCGCGACACCACAGGAGCUUUGCUUAUUCGUCUAG
rnacentral:rRNA from 1 species